CAGUGUGAUUGCUGACAGGAAGUCCUUCCCUGGGAUUGAACUCGACGAUGAUUUUGACUACAAUCUCGAUCUCAUGGGAGAUUAUAACCUCACGAUAAGCGACUGCCCAAAGAAACAAACACCGUUUCCGUUCGAGGUAUCAAUGACAGCCU